rnacentral:rRNA from 1 species
CAGUCGCCGCGGGAAUACGAAGGGUGCAGGCGUUAAUCGGAAUUACUGGGCGUAAAGCGUGCGCAGGCGGUUGUGUAAGACAGGUGUGAAAUCCCCGGGCUUAACCUGGGAACUGCGCUUGUGACUGCACAGCUAGAGUAUGGCAGAGGGGGGUGGAAUUCCACGUGUAGCAGUGAAAUGCGUAGAGAUGUGGAGGAACACCGAUGGCGAAGGCAGCCCCCUGGGCCAAUACUGACGCUCAUGCACGAAAGCGUGGGGAGCAAACAGGAUUAGAUACCCCUGUAGUCCCUGUCUCUUAUAC